rnacentral:rRNA from 1 species
GACGAACGCUGGCGGCGUGCCUAAUACAUGCAAGUCGAACGCAGUGGGGACGGGGGAGUAACACGUGGGUAAUCUCCCAUCAGAUGGGAUAAGACUUGGAAACAGGUGCUAAACCGAUACUGAUGGAUGGACGCGGUGUGCAUUCGCUAGUGGGUGGGGUAACGGCUCACCAAGGCCACGAUGCAUACCUGGGCGGAGAGGGUGAUCGGCCACACUGGGACUGAGACACGGCCCAGACUCCUACGGGAGGCAGCAGUAGGGAAUAUUGGGCAAUGGACGAAAGGCUGACCCAGCAACGCCGCGUGAGUGAAGAAGGUUUUCGGAUCGUAAAGCUCUGUUGGUAGAGAAGCGGUAUCUAACGAUGAAGCACCGGCUAACUACGUGCCAGCAGCCGCGGUAAUAC